AACGAACGCUGGCGGCAGGCCUAACACAUGCAAGUCGAACGCUGUAGCAAUACAGAGUGGCGGACGGGUGCGUAACGCGUAUGCAACAUGCCUUCCAGCGGGGGAUAUACCAGGGAAACUUGGCGCAAUACCCCAUAGAAUUACGGGACCGCAUGGUCUUGUGAUUAAAACUCCGGUGCUGGGAGAUUGGCAUGCGUGACAUUAGCUAGUUGGCGGGGUAACGGCCCACCAAGGCGACGAUGUCUAGCUGGUCUGAGAGGAUGAUCAGCCACACUGGGACUGAGACACGGCCCAGACUCCUACGGGAGGCAGCAGUAGGGAAUAUUGGACAAUGGGGGGAACCCUGAUCCAGCCAUGCCGCGUGAGGGAAGAAGGUCCUCUGGAUUGUAAACCUCUUUUGGCAGGAAACAAACCUGCGCUAUACGCGCAGCUGAGGGUACCUGCAGAAUAAGCACCGGCUAACUCCGUGCCAGCAGCCG
rnacentral:rRNA from 1 species